AUAGAUGGAAGGUGUUGAGGGCUUGGGACGUCAUCUAUUUGGUGAACUAUAGACAUUGAUUAUAUUUCUGGUCAAAUGCUUAGAUGGUUUCCUGUACGGUAUAAUAUAAAGAAAAACGCUAUGGACAACUGCCUCGCGUCCCUGCCACGGCCUCGCGUCCACGUGGAAAAAAAAGACGUCGUUUCUUUACCACUUAAUUCCCUCCCCCCUUUCCUUCAUUUCCCCCUUCCCCCAUUCGAAACCUUCGUCUUCGAUUCACAAAUUCCAUCUUCCUCUCCGAAAUCGACCCCCCCACCUUCCUCUCCGAAAUCAAACCACGAAUCUGACGACGCAGUCCUCCCAUUUCUUGCUUUCUGUUGCAUGCAUGGUUGACAUAUAUUUCAGGUGCGUGCGUAUUUGGUAUUAAUAGUCGGUCAUCAACUCAGAAAAAAGUACAUCUUAUUCUCACCUCAUGUAUAAUCUCCGAUUACCUAGGCUUCUUGGACCCUUCAGUCAAACCCGACCAAACCAGAGUUUGAAUAUAGGAGCAGACUGAUAAUGAAACUGGACGAUGAUUUGGGGCGGGACCGGGGGGAUGAUUUCCAAACCGAUGAUGACGAAAAUGAGGCUGAAUUGGUUUAUGGGGAUGAAGAAAAAGGCUAUGGACAACCGAAAUAGUCAGAUAAUCUCUGGCUUUAGAUCUCCCUCUCUGGCUUCUUUCUCACAAAAUGCUCAGAUGUUCUUCAAAUCGUGCUUUCCAUUCGCUUUCUCUAUUGUUUAUUUUUAAUAUAAUAAUAUCGGCUAACGGAGCCGAGGCCGCAAUAGGGUUCUAGGGACGGUUGUCCCUAGCAGAACUGUAAUAUAAAUUGCCCCCAUGGUUUGCUGUAUAUUGUUAAAUGGAGUUUUUCUCAAAAAAAAAAAAAAGUAUAUUGUUAAAUGGAAGAGUUCCAUAUUUACACUGAUUUCGGUCUUGAAUGCUUGCUAGUAACUCCCGCAUUUGUAUUGUUUUCAAUCUGUGAAUAUUUGCUGGAUAUAUAAACAUUUGCACCAUUUUCAGCUUGUUAAUGCUUGCUAGAGUUUUUCACAUUUACAUUGUUUUAAGUCUAUGAAAGCUUGUUGGAAUCUCCCAUCUAUGCUUUGUUUUUCAGUCUAUAAAUGCUUCCUGAAAAUUGUAUGUUUUCUCCAUGUUUUUGUUGGAACUUUUUUGUUUUUUCUCUAUUCUUGCUGAACAGAUUUUCAGUAUGUAAAUGCCUGCUGGAACUUGUUAUGUUCUCUCUAAUGUAAGAAAUACUACUACCAUUCUUAGUAUUGUUAUUUGUUAUAUAAAGAUCACACUUACCAUAACCUUACCCUUUGAACCUCAAACCUAUAAAGAAGCAGUGAGGGACUAGAAAUGGAUUGAUGCUAUGCAAGCUGAAUACAAUGCUCUACUAGCUAAUCAAACUUGGACUUUAUGUCCUCGACCUUCUCAUAAACAAGUUGUGAGAAAUAAGUGGGUGUUUAACAUUAAACAAAAAUCAGAUUGGAGUAUUGAUCGAUACAAGGCUAGAUUAGUGGCAAAAGGCUUUGAUCAAAUUGAUGGGGUUGACUUUACUGAGACCUUUAGCCCUGUUAUAAAACUAGCUACAAUCAGACUAGUGUUGGCUCUAGUUGUGCACCAUGUCUGGUUUAUUCGUCAACUUGACAUCUCUAAUGCAUUUCUCCAUAGUUAUCUUGAAGAAGAAGUUUAUAUGGAGCAGCUUCAAGGGUUUGAAGAUCCUCAUCUUUCUGACCAUGUAUGUUGAACAAGUCCAUCUAUGGACUUAAACAAACUCCUCGAGCUUGGCUCUUGAGACUGUCACAAGCACUACUAGCUCCCUAUUUACUUUUCAUCACAACAACAUCGCAGUCUUUGUGCUUAUUUAUGUUGAUGACAUAAUUGUUACAAGCAAUUCUUCCUCCUCUAUCGAUGCUUUGAUUACUAAUCUUGGUUGUGACUUUGCUGUUAAAGAUCUUGGUCCACUCUCUUAUUUUUUGGGAAUUCAAGUCACACAGACCUCUGAUGGCUUACAUCUCAAUCAAGGAAAAUAUUUAACUGAUUUAGCGCAUCGCAUCAAAAUGGCUGGUGCUAAACUAGCUCCUACACCUUGCAACUCAGCUGCAAUACUCUCCACAUUUUCAGGUGAUCCAUUAUCUGAUCCUACUGAAUAUUGUAGCUUAGUGGGAGCUCUCCAAUAUUCGACUCUCACAAGGCCAGAUCUAUCCUUUAGUGUGAAUCAAUUAUGUCAAUUCCUCCACUGUCCCACUACAUAUCAUCUUGUUGCUGCCAAAUGAGUAUUGACGUAUCUUGAGGGGACAUUACAGUUUGGUCUCCAGUUCAGCAAAGGCACACUUCAACUUAAUGGUUUUUGUGACUCUGAUUGGGCGGACUGUCUUGAUGACAAGAAAUCCACCUCUGGCUACUGCAUAUAUCUUGGACCCUAUCUCAUAUCUUGGUCUGCUAAGAAGCAACCAGUUGUAGCAAGAUCAAGUAUAAAAGCCGAAUACAAAUCUAUGGCUUUUACAGUGGCUAAAUUAUACUAGAUUAGAAUGCUAUUUCAGGAAUGUCAUAUUCCACUCAUAGAUGUUCCCUGCCUCUGAGUGGAUAACGUUGGUGCUUUGGCUCUUUCUUCUAAUCCAAUUUUCCAUGCUCGCACUAAGCACAUCGAGGUGGACUAUCACUUUAUUUGGGAAAAGGUUUUCAACAAGGAUAUUCAAGCUAAAAAUAUCUCUACUACUGCUCAACCUUCUGAUAUAUUCACUAAGGGCCUAACUUCAUCACACUUCCUAUUUCUUCGUGACAAGCUAAUGGUUCGUGACCUUCCCAUCACCUUGAAGGGGGAUGUUAAAGAUAUAUGUCCCGAGAAGUUUGCUAACAAAUUGUCUAAUGAGGAUAAGCUUAAGAAAUAUUAAAUUGCUGCUGUUACAUAGCUUAUCCUCCCUUAUCUUCUAUUGUUCAUUCAUAUAGUUAGUUACAUGUAGCUAACUACAUUUUGUAAUUCUAUGCUCAUCUGUAAGUUGUAAUUUAAACUUCGUAAUCCUCUCUAUAUAUACAAUCAAUACGAGAUGCCUGGUAUCAAUUGAACCAGCUUUAUUGUACGAA